GCCAAGGUCGCAUAAUCCGGUAUUGCGCGGGACUGCUAAUCUCGUUCCUUUUGGAGCUGCGGGUUCAAAUCCCGUCUUUGGCG
rnacentral:tRNA from 1 species